rnacentral:rRNA from 1 species
UACGUAGGGUGCAAGCGUUAAUCGGAAUUACUGGGCGUAAAGGGCUCGUAGGCGGCCAACUAAGUCAGACGUGAAAUCCCCAGGCUUAACCUGGGAACUGCAUCCGAUACUGGAUGGCUUGAAUUCGGGAGAGGGAUGCAGAAUUCCAGGUGUAGCGGUGAAAUGCGUAGAUAUCUGGAGGAAUACCGGUGGCGAAGGCGGCAUCCUGGACCGACAUUGACGCUGAACGGCGAAAGCUAGGGGAGCAAACGGG